GACACAGAACUUUGGGAGCCUUGUCCCUUGCUCUCUCCAUCCCUAUCCUUCUCGUGAAUGCCACACAUUGGGGAAAAAAAAUAUGGAACAGAUAGCAGUAGCAAGGGCCAACAUCCAGUACAUCCAGUCCACCCACAGAAUGUUCUGAGGAUAAAUAAGGCAAUACACAUGCAAUGGCUUGAGAACUCUGAUUCACUCUACAAAACAGUGUUGCUGCUGAACAGCCAUGUACCCUACCCAGUGCCAUCUCCUUGGAUGUUCUAUGCUCCAUGUUUCUUCUCCUCCAGUACCCAGGGCUGUCAUGAAGGAGAAGCCAUGCCCAUAAAGGAUGUAGAACAAAGUCUUCGGAAUGCUUGCCUUCCUACUACUCUUCUGUGUCCAUCUCCUCCACGUAACUGGGAAUCACACAUCUCUGUGGCCAAUGCCACAGGCUCUCA